GAUGAACGCUGGCGGCGUGCCUAAUACAUGCAAGUCGAGCGAACAGACGAUGAGCUUGUUCCUCUGACGUUAGCGGCGGACGGGCGAGUAACACGUGGAUAACCUACUUCUAUUACUGGGAUAAUUACGGGAAACAGGUGCUAAUACUAGCUCAUAUAUCGUACCGCAGGGUUCAGUAGUGAAUGGCAGCUUUCGCGAUACUUUUAGACGGUUGCGCUCUGCAUAGGUUAUUUGGUAAGGGAACGCCCUACCAAGGCAACGAAGCUUAUCUGACUGGAUGGGUGAAUCGGCCACCCUGGAACGGGGCACCGGCCCAGACUCCUACGGGAGGCAGCAGUAGGAAAUUUGCCGCAAUGGGCGAAAGCCUGACGAAGCAUCGCGGCGUGAGUGAGGAAGGUCUUCGGAUGGUAAAACCCUGUUAUGAGAGAAGAACAAAUGUGGAAAUAACUAUGCACGUCUGGACGGUACCAAAGCAGAAGGCCACGGCUAACUAGUG
rnacentral:rRNA from 1 species